UGGGGAAUUUUGCACAAUGGGGGGAACCUUGAUGCAGCGACGCCGCGUGAGGGAUGGAGGCCUUCGGGUUGUGAACCUCUUUCGCUCGUGUGCAAGCCGCUAUUUGGGUAGUGGUGAGUGUAGCGGGUAAAGAAGCGCCGGCUAACUACGUGCCAGCAGCCGCGGUAAUACGUAGGGCGCGAGCGUUGUCCGGAUUUAUUGGGCGUAAAGGGCUUGUAGGCGGUUUGUCGCGCCUGUCGUGUAAUCCUCUGGCUUAACUGGGGGUGGGCGGUGGGUACGGGCAGGCUUGAGUCCGGUAGGGGAGAUUGGAAUUCCUGGUGUAGCGGUGGAAUGCGCAGAUAUCAGGAGGAACACCGGUGGCGAAGGCGGGUCUCUGGGCCGUUACUGACGCUGAGGAGCGAAAGCGUGGGGAGCGAACAGG
rnacentral:rRNA from 1 species